rnacentral:rRNA from 1 species
UACGUACCGUCCGAACGUUAUUCGGUAUCACUGGGCUUAAAGCGUUCGUAGGCGGCCUGGUAGGUGAGGUGUGAAAGCCAACGGCUCAACCGUUGAAUUGCGCUUCAAACCACCAGGCUUGAGGAAGACAGGGGUGUUGGGAACUUAUGGUGGAGCGGUGAAAUGCGUUGAUAUCAUAGGGAACACCGGUGGCGAAGGCGCAACACUGGGUCUUUUCUGACGCUGAGGAACGAAAGCUAGGGUAGCGAACGGG